UGAAAGCCUGGGAGGGGCAAAUCCGGGGGCAGCCAUUCGUCGCAUUCUACGCCAGGUGGCUACCAACAAUGUCCUGGCGCAGUACAGCCUGAGGGGGAGGAGAGCAAAAAAGCCUUUCCAGAACUUAACCCUUUGCAAAAUUAUAACGGAAGGUAGCUGAUAUUGAGGAGUGCAUUGGGCAUGCACUGAAGUUUGCACCACACAGACGGUCAGCUGGUCCUCAAGAUUGAAGACGUACACCAACUUCUAUGCACA